rnacentral:lncRNA from 1 species
CAGCACUUUGGGAGGCUGAGAUGGGAGGAUCACAAGGUCAGGAGAUCGAGACCAUCCUGGCUAACACGGUGAAACCCCAUCUCUACUAAAAAUACAAAAAAUUAGCCGGGCGUGUUGGCAGGCACCUGUAGUCCCAGCUUCUCGGGAGGCUGAGGCAGGAGAAUGGCAUGAACCCAGGAGGCAGAGCUUGCAGUGAGCUGAGAUCGCACCACUACACUCCAGCCUGGGGGAUACAGGGAGACUCUGUCUCAAAAAAAAAAAAAAAGGGCAGAAAUAUUUGAUAUGAAGGUAGCCAAAGGAAAACCAAUUUAAAGUAACACUUCUCAAAUUAAUAUUUGUAGACCCUUAGAGGUCAUUGCUCAUUUCUAAGAGUAAGCUUAUUCAGUCCUUUCCCUAGCCAGUCCUCCCAGAGGGACAGUCCACCAAACAAAUCUCAGGUUUUUCUGGGAAGUAGGAUGGCAGUGGGAAAAUAAGGAGGAAGGAGUGGAGGAAUGAUGUAGGUCGUGAGGACCUACAGCCAAAAAUAAGAGUACUGAUGGAAAUAACAAAGCCACAACUAUUAUGAUAAAUAACAAGCACAAAUGACAGAUUCCAGAUUUCAUUUUUUAAGAAACUCAAACAAGCUAGGACCAGUUCAGAUUUGGGUUUAGCCUUUCUGAAAAUAACUGCUCUUACUAACAAACAGGAAUUUACCUGACUAGAAUGCACAAGUCAAAACAGAAAUUUACUAAAAAGAGAUGCAUAGAUUUUCUCUAGCUCAUACAGAUGAGUCACACAACCUCUCUGGGAAUAUAAUUAAGGACAAAGGAGCAGGGAAAAUUCCAGAAGGCAGAGUAUUUCAUCACACUGAGGGAGUGGAAUGUUUUAGAAAGUACUGCUAUGCCACCUGUGAUUUAGUUUAAGCCUUUAUCCAGCCCAUAAAGUAGAAGUGUACCACCCUGAUUUGGAAAUUAAAGUACUUUGAAAGCAAAAUCACUCAGAGAGUGAAGUCAGCUCAAAUGGAGGUCACUAACCAUUUUUAGAAACAACCCAAGAGACCAUCUUUGAAUAAGAGAUUUAGGGAGAUUUGGAAACCCACAAAUAGAAUUAAGGCAACAAGAAUGGGGUUGAGAUGUGAUUUCCACAAGAAAGCUCCAAGACAAAUGAUGAUAUUUUCUACUGUACGGUCUGAAGAAAGACAGUGUCAGUGGAAAGCAAAGGCCUUCAUGGAGCUUAGAAAAGGAAAGGUAAAAGUAGGCCUGGACUAAAUGGAGUUUAUUCCAGAAAUGUAGGGUUUGUUUAACAUACAAAAUCAGUAAGAUAACUUGCCAUAUUAACAAACUGAAAAGAAAAAUCAUAUGAUCAUCUCAUAGGUGCAGAAGCAUUAUUUGACAAAAUCCAACAUCCAUUCCUGAUAAAACUUCUCAUCAAACUAGGAACAGAAAGGACCCUCCUUAAGCUGAUAAAGGACAGCUACAAAACUUUAGAGUUAACCUACUAACUAUCCUAGCUACUACUGGAGGUUCUAGCUGGUACAAUCAGGCAAUAAAUAAAAUAGAUUAGAAAGAAAGACAUGAAGCUGUCUUUAUUCAUAGAUGACACGGUCAUAUAUGCAGAAACUCCAACAGAAUCUACAAAACUACUAUAACUAAUAAAUGAGGAUAGCAAGAUUUCAGGAUAGAAGAUUAAUCUACAAAAUCAAUUGUAUUUCUAUAUAUUCACAGCAAGCAAUUGGAAAAUUUAAAAAAGAAUGCUACUUAUAAGAGCAUCAAAAAUAUGAAAUAUUUUGGAAUAAAAAUGACAAAAAUAUAAAAGAUCUAUAAAUUAUAAACUACUAAACAUUGCUGAGAAAAGUUGGAGACUAAAUAAAUGGAUAGAUACUUCUUGUUCAUUGAGUCAAAAGACUCAAUAUUGUUAAGAUGUCAAUUUUCCCCAAAUUGAUCUUUAAUUCCAUGCAAUCCCAAUCAAAAUCCCAGUAACACUUUUGUAGAAAUCGGCAAACUGGUUGUGAAGCUCAAAUCAGAAUCCAAAGGAUCUUCAACAGCCAAAACAAUUUUGAAAAAGAAGAACAAAAUUAGAAGGCUAACAUUACCUGACUUUAAGACUUAUGAUAACACUACCAUAAUCAAAACAAUGUGGUACUGAUGUAAAGAUAAAUAAUUUAGUGGAACAGAAAAGAGAGCCCAGAAAUAGACAUAUAUGGAUAACUCAUUUUUCAUCAAGGUGCAAAGCAAUUUAAUGGAAAAACUGAUACAGGAGCUAGAAAGAAAUUGUUUAGGCAGAUAGUAAGGGCAAGAGUCCUCAGCAGAAUUUCCCUUUUAACAAAAAAAGUAGCCACAAAUCAUUCCUUUUCUAGCAAAGAGUAGCUUGAAAAAGCUACUCUUUUGAGUACAGACAUAGAUAAGCAAGCUGGAAGCUUGCACAGGUGAAUGCCAGCAGCUGUGCCAAUGGAAAAGGGUAUGUUCAACAUGGAGGCUUUUCUAGCAAAGAGUAGCUUGAAAAAGCUACUCUUUUGAGUACAGACAUAGAUAAGCAAGCUGGAAGCUUGCACAGGUGAAUGCCAGCAGCUGUGCCAAUGGAAAAGGGUAUGUUCAACAUGGAGGCUUUUCUAGCAAAGAGUAGCUUGAAAAAAGCUACUCUUUUGAGUACAGACAUAGAUAAGCAAGCUGGAAGCUUGCACAGGUGAAUGCCGGCAGCUGUGCCAAUGGAAAAGGGUAUGUUCAACAUGGAGGCUCCAUCUUCCCUUUUCUUUGUCACCAUGUGUACAGUAAAGAGGCAGGCAACAUGGUGCCAACCCAGCAAAGAACUCAUCUGCAUAAGAAAAAGUUAGGAUGGGGACAGCCAGAUUUUCACAUGCUAUGCAAAUGGCACACCUGCUCCGACUAAUCUUUCAUGUUCUAUGUAAAUCAGACACCACCUCCUCAAGCUCAUCUAUAAAACCCCUUGCAUUUUGCCGUGGACCAGAAAAUGUGCUCUGGACCCGUCUCUCUGCAGGAGAGAGCUUUUCUCUUUCUUUUACCGAUUAAACUUCUGCUCUCUUCCUCACUCUUUGUGUGUCUGUGUCCUAGUUUUCCAUGGCCAUAAGACAACGAAUCUCAGGUAUUUACCCCAGACAAUGGCACUGCUUCAUUUUGGGGGCCCAUCCAGGAUCCAAGGUAGAUUCAUCAGAAGGGUGAGUAUAGCAGCAGACCCCAACCCUUUGUUUUCAUUUUGAGGCCUCCAUCCUCCAUUUUAAAAUCAAACCAAACACUGCGCCCCCUUCAGUCAUUUAAAAACAGUUAGUGUGGCUGCAAGCCUAACAAGACUUGGGGAACAGGCUUGCCAGGAGAACUUAGCAAAUCCCUCUGCCCUCAGGGUGCUGGGAAUGUUGGCUUUGUUUUGAACCAGUUUCUUUUCACAGAAAGCCUAGCUGUCACAUGAGGCUGGAAGAGGUUCAGAGGUAACUGAGGGUUCCUGGCCAGGGCCACACCCUGGUGUUAUCUGAAGCCUUCUGGACUAACCCCAGCCUCUGACAGCCUGAUGGGAAUUGGAAACAGGAUCUCCAAGCUUUUCAUAUCACAAUUUUCCUCCUUUUCUGUCUGCGACCACCAUGUCUCCUAUCCACUCUCUGUAUGCAAUACUGUGGGAAUUUUUACAAUUCAGAGAAGUAAUCCUGUUAGUCAAGAUCAGGAAAUGCCACAGUAACCAGGAAUAUAGCUCAAGGGAUUGCUGUUUUUGUGAUUUCCUAGAAACAUGGGGUCUUCUCUCCCCCGCCAUCAUCCCCCACCCCACCCUAGUGAGUGUCUCUCUCUUUACCCUUGGUCUGGAGAGCACAUGGUAUUUUAAGGCCAACAGCACCACCUAGUGGAAUAAGAAUCCUCCCUUUGAUGAAACACUCUAGUUCCCUAAUUCUCCUCCUUUUUGGCACCCCUCUACUAAAGACCAGGCUUUAUGUCCCUUCUGUGAACAGGAAAACUCAACAAUGGUGAGGAAAAUGUUCUCCAAAACAAAAUUCUAGUCUUGAUACUGUCCC